rnacentral:rRNA from 1 species
GAUGAACGCUGGCGGCGUGCCUAAUACAUGCAAGUCGAGCGAACAGACGAGGAGCUUGCUCCUCUGACGUUAGCGGCGGACGGGUGAGUAACACGUGGAUAACCUACCUAUAAGACUGGGAUAACUUCGGGAAACCGGAGCUAAUACCGGAUAACAUGUUGAACCGCAUGGUUCAACAGUGAAAGACGGUCUUGCUGUCACUUAUAGAUGGAUCCGCGCCGCAUUAGCUAGUUGGUAAGGUAACGGCUUACCAAGGCAACGAUGCGUAGCCGACCUGAGAGGGGGAUCGGCCACACUGGAACUGAGACACGGUCCAGACUCCUACGGGAGGCAGCAGUAGGGAAUCUUCCGCAAUGGGCGAAGGCCUGACGGAGCAACGCCGCGGGAGUGAAGAAGGUCUUCGGAUCGUAAAACUCUGUUAUUAGGGAAGAACAAAUGUGUAAGUAACUAUGCACGUCUUGACGGUACCUAAUCAGAAAGCCACGGCUAACUACGUG